UCCGAGUUGUCCCCGGCAGUCCUUUUAGAGUCCCCGGCAUUACCCGCUGGCAACUAAAAGCAGGGGUUGCGCUCGUUGCGGCACUUAAGCCAACACCUCACGGCACGAGCUGACGACAGCCAUGCACCACCUGUGAUCGUGCCCCGAAGGGAGGCCGUGUUUCCACGGCUGUCACGAACAUGUCAAGCCCAGGUAAGGUUCUUCGCGUUGCCUCGAAUUAAGCAACAUGCUCCGCUGCUUGUGCGGGUCCCCGUCAAUUCCUUUGAGUUUUAGCCUUGCGGCCGUACUCCCCAGGCGGGGUGCUUAAUGCGUUAGCUUCGGCACGGAAGGAGUCGACACCUCCCACACCUAGCACCCAUCGUUUACGGCGUGGACUAC
rnacentral:misc_RNA from 1 species